rnacentral:rRNA from 1 species
AACGAACGCUGGCGGCAGGCUUAACACAUGCAAGUCGAACGCCCCGCAAGGGGAGUGGCAGACGGGUGAGUAACGCGUGGGAAUCUGCCCAUCCCUACGGAACAACUCCGGGAAACUGGAGCUAAUACCGUAUACGCCCUUAGGGGGAAAGAUUUAUCGGGGAUGGAUGAGCCCGCGUUGGAUUAGCUAGUUGGUGGGGUAAAGGCCUACCAAGGCGACGAUCCAUAGCUGGUCUGAGAGGAUGAUCAGCCACAUUGGGACUGAGACACGGCCCGAACUCCUACGGGAGGCAGCAGUGGGGAAUAUUGGACAAUGGGCGCAAGCCUGAUCCAGCCAUGCCGCGUGAGUGAUGAAGGCCUUAGGGUUGUAAAGCUCUUUCACCGAUGAAGAUAAUGACGGUAGUCGGAGAAGAAGCCCCGGCUAACUUCGUGCCAGCCGCCGCCGUAAAAC